rnacentral:sRNA from 12 species
CGACCCUUCCCUUCGGGGGAUACGGCCACGGACAGCCGGGUCGACUGCCGA